rnacentral:rRNA from 1 species
CCUACGGGUGGCAGCAGUGGGGAAUAUUGCACAAUGGGGGAAACCCUGAUGCAGCGACGCCGCGUGAGUGAAGAAGUAUCUCGGUACGGAAAGCUCUAUCAGCAGGGAAGAUAAUGACGGUACCUGACCAAGAAGCCCGGCUAACUAUGUGCCAGCAGCCGCGGUAAUACGUAGGGGGCACGCGUUAGCCGGAUUGACGGGGUGUAUAGGGAGCGUUGACGGGAGCACAAGGCUGGAGUGAAAUCCCGGGGCUUAACCCCGGAAGUGCUUUGGAAAAUGUGCGGCUGGAGGGCAGGAGGGGUAAGCGGAAUUCCUGGGGUAGCGGUGAAAUGCGUAGAUAUUAGGAGGAACUCCGGUGGCGAAGGCGGCUUACUGGACUGUAACUGACGUUGAGGCUCGAAAGCGUGGGGAGCAAACAGGAUUAGAUACCCCUGUAGUC